GUUCCUCACUAAGGUUCGGAAACUUUUAACAGAUUAAUAAUAGCCUGAUAAAAAGUAUUCGGAAUUUUUGUGAGGAAUGCCGACGAGUGGCGGACGGCUGAGUAACGCGUGGGAACGUGCCCCAAAGUGAGGGAUAACGCACCGAAAGGUGUGCUAAUACCGCAUACGGUCUUCGGAUUAAAGUAUUUAUACGCUUUGGGAGCGGCCUGCGUACGAUUAGAUAGUUGGUGAGGUAACGGCUCACCAAGUCGACGAUCGUUAACUGGUCUGAGAGGAUGAUCAGUCAGACUGGAACUGAGACACGGUCCAGACUCCUACGGGAGGCAGCAGUAAGGAAUCUUCCACAAUGGGGGCAACCCUGAUGGAGCAACACCGCGUGAAGGAUGAAGGCCCUCGGGUCGUAAACUUCUUUUAUAAGUGAGGAAUAUGACGGUAACUUAUGAAUAAGGGUCGGCUAACUACGUGCCAGCAGCCGCGGUCAUACGUAGGACCCAAGCGUUAUCCGGAGUGACUGGGCGUAAAGAGUUGCGUAGGCGGUCGUAUAAGCGAAUAGUGAAAUCUGGUGGCUCAACCAUCAACCCAUUGUUCGAACUGUACGACUCGAGAAUGGUAGAGGUAACUGGAAUUUCGUGUGUAGGAGUGAAAUCCGUAGAUAUACGAAGGAACACCAAUGGCGUAGGCAGGUUACUGGACCAUUUCUGACGCUGAGGCACGAAAGCGUGGGGAGCGAACCGGAUUAGAUACCCGGGUAGUCCACGCCGUAAACGAUGGAUACUAGCUGUAGGGGGUAUCGACCCCCUCUGUAGCGAAGCUAACGCGUUAAGUAUCCCGCCUGUGGAGUACGGCCGCAAGGCUAAAACAUAAAGGAAU
rnacentral:rRNA from 1 species